UACGUAGGGGGCAAGCGUUGUCCGGAUUUAUUGGGCGUAAAGAGCGUGUAGGCGGCUUUACAGGUCCGUUGUGAAAACUCGAGGCUCAACCUCGAGACGCCGGUGGAAACCGUAAGGCUAGAGUCCGGAAGAGGAGAGUGGAAUUCCGUGGUGUAGCGGUGAAAUGCGCAGAUAUCAGGAGGAACACCCGUGGCGAAAGUGGCUCCUCGUG
rnacentral:rRNA from 1 species